CAGAUGCGCCACGGCUCCGCGAGCGACGGGUGCGAGCAGCAGCGCCUCUGCCCGGAAGCCCCCCCGCAGCGCCAGCGCCAGCUCCACGGGCAGCCAUGUGCGACCGCAAGGCCGUGAUCAAGAACGCGGACAUGUCGGAGGAGAUGCAGCAGGACUCGGUGGAGUGCGCCACGCAGGCCCUGGAGAAGUACAACAUCGAGAAGGACAUCGCGGCCCACAUCAAGAAGG